ensembl:lncRNA
GUGACUGUGCCUCAGCUACUUGGGAACAGCUGGGUGGAUGGGGCUGCCUGAGACAGGAGCGGGGAAGGGGGGGGGGGCUCGUCCCUGGUAGCAGGGAAGAGCAGAGUGCAGUAGCAGACAACCAGCGAGCAAAGGUGGAAACAAAAGCUGUAGUAGGGCCAGGUUGCUCAGGACCACUAAACUCCCCUUCUCAGAGCAUGGUAUUCAUUUCCUCAAGCCCAGAGACCUUGGUGAUGGCCUCCUAAGCAGAAACGGAUGAAGUAGCUCUGGGACCCAGUCUCCUACAAAGAGCAAGAGCUGCAGCUCUAACAGAGUCCACCAUGGAACCACUGGUGCCCAUCUCUGAACAAUGAUCAGGAGGCCCGGAAACACUCUUCCUGUGUCCCCAUGGAUAUGGCGUUCUGCCUCCUGAGUAACCUGAUGAGUCUGUACCAGAGGCCAACAGUGACAGAAGCACAAGGCGACUUCCAGCUUGGCAAGGAAGGGAAACGGUGUGGAGAACACAGGCGAAUACUCAAAGCACAUAGUAAGCAUUUACUCCGCACAACCCAGGAAAGUGCAAGAAAAAAUCCUGCGAACGAACAUUCCCGACCCGCCAUCUGGCUCACCGCACCCCGUCCUGCCCAGAUCCCGGACCCUGACAGCAAAGCCGCACCCGGAAGAGGGAGACCCCGACUCCCGCUCCUACGGGGACCCCCAGCCGCCUACCCCCUGAGGGGUGGACCCCCGACUCCCGCCAAGGGAGAUCUUCCGCAGGAGGGUCCUCGAACCCUGCACCCCAGGGAAGGACUCCACCCUCGAUACCCUGCCCAGAGAAGGGGACCCAAAACGAUCUCCGCCCGAGAAGGGGACCCUGACCCUGAGGAAGGGACUUCGACCCUGAUCCCCGCCCCGAAGAGGGGACCCCGACCUUGAUCCCCGCCCCAAUAGGGGACCUCGACCCCGAUCCCGAAACUGAGGAGGGAACCGACCCGACCUGCGCCCGCGCUCGCAGGCCCGCCCGGCGGCCUCGGACCGGGAGGAGCGACGCGGCGUCCGCGCGCGCGCAGCCAAUCGCGAGCCGCC